ACCACGUCUUGAGGGGCCUACCUGAUACGUAUGCCAUGAUCCGCACAGUUAUAGAAAAUACUACCGACGUGGACGACGUCGAGAAGCUGGAGAUGCGGCUACUCGUCGAGGAGCAGAAGAUUGAUACGGAGACCAAGAAGUCGCCCGUGAAGGGAGCCUACAACGUCGCGCGGCAGGCGCCACACAAGAAGAAGGACAACAGGAAGUGCUUCUACUGCAAGGAGCAGGGCCAUUUAGUUGCCAAGUGUCCGAAGCUUAGACAGCCAUAUCCGNCACCACCACCGNCGCCGCCGCCGCCUCCCCCUCCACCACCUCCCCAGCCUUUCAUGCGCCAACGACAACAACAACCGCAAGUGCAGCCGCAGGCCCAGGGCGUGCGGCGGCGACUAGUUGGCGUCAUAAACACGCUUGGGGGAAUGAGACUGGCACCCGGUGAAUGGCUUCUCGACACUGGAGCCGAGGAUCACCUGACCUUCACGCCUGAGGACGUGGAGGGUCUGAAGCCGGUGCGCGAGGGCGAGGGUGUCGUUUCUGAGGUGGCGGAUGGGCGGACGGUUAGCUCGAUUGGUGAGGGCAGGCCGGUUUUCGCCUCUUUUCGAGGGCAGACGGAAUUGUCGGUACCUGUACACGUAGUUCCGGACCUGCAACACCGCCUGUUCUCAGUCAAGGCCCUGAAGAGAUCCUUCCCGGAUCAGGUGGUAGAGGUUGUCCUGUCCGCCGAUUGCUCGUAUAUAGCAAUAGACGGAAUUCCCGCUGUCGAUGUGUUCGAGGAGAACGGGAUGUACAUCGUGCUUGCGCAGCCAGAUGCCGAGUGGAAUAGGGCAUUAUCACUGCAUCGCUUUCCCAAGGAAAAGUUAGACACCUUGCAUCGUCGCAUGGGGCAUGCUAGCCUCACCCGUUUUGAUAGGCCGUUUUUUUACGACCUGGUCCAUUCGGAGCUCAUAUGCCGCGAGGAAAGCCUUCGUCCGGAGAGCAAGGUCUGCGAGCCGUGCGUUAUGGGAAAAAUGACCCGCAGCCCCCAUCAUUCAUCGACGCACAAGGGCGAACGCGUGCUCGACCUCGUCCAUAUGGAUCUUUGCGGCCCGAUGCCGGUCACGUCGCUGGGUGGAGCCAACUACUUCGCUACCUUCUACGACGAUUUUAGCAAAUACUCCGAGGUUCGUUGCGUUCGCGCAAAGAGCGAAGUCCCCGCUGCUGUUCGUGAGGUUUUGACUAAGUGGGAACGGCAGACUGGUCUAGAAGUUCGUUGCGUCCGAACUGAUUGCGGCACGGAGUACGUCAACGAUCGCCUUGCCUCCUUCUUUUCUGAGAGGGGUAUUGUGCAUGAGAAGUCGGCCCCGUAUACACCAGAGCAAAACGGAGCAGCGGAGCGCCUGAACAGGACUUUGCUGGAGCGUGUGCGGGCCAUGCAAUAUGAUUCGGGCGUACCUCCGGAGCUGUGGGGAGAGGCAAUAAUGACGGCCAACGCCUUGCGCAACGUGUGUCCUACGAAGGGGACUGUACAGACGCCGUGGGAGCUGUUUACUGGAAAGCCCCCGGACGUCUCUAAGCUACGGGUAUUCGGGUGCGUGGCUUAUGUACAGGUUCCGAAGGCGCUUAGAAAUAAACUUGACCCGGUCUGCGUCAAGGGUAUCCUAGUUGGGUAUGAACCUAAAUUUAGUGCGUGGCGCGUAUGGAUCCCAGCAGAAGGGCGGAUUCGUGUUAGUGUAGAUGUGGUUUUCGAUGAGGGAAUCAUGUAUAGUGUCGCGUAUUUGCUCGAUUCGAUAGAGGAGUCGCUCUCUUCCGGUACUGAUGAUGAGGGCCCCAGGAGGGCGCCCUUGGUCGAGAUCGAGAUGAAUCCUGUAGGCGGGCNNNNNNNNNNNNNNNNNNNNNNNNNNNNNNNNNNNNNNNNNNNNNNNNNNUCACCUGACCUUCACGCCUGAGGACGUGGAGGGUCUG
rnacentral:lncRNA from 1 species